AAAUGGCCUGCCUCGUCCUAGUCUCCCUCGGCCCACACGAGCCCCCGGCCUGCUAGUGGCAGGCCCAGAUUAGGGGAUGUGCCAAAUCCACUUGAGUCUUCCUUGAAUCCAAGAAGCAGAUGAGCAGCGUCUCUGACAAGGUGGAACAUACAUGAAAUAAACCAAAACUCAGCGGAGUUGGCUUAUAAUGUAUCAUUCCCAUAUUUUGACUCAUCUUUUUCAAACAAAAUGUGUGCCCUAUUGGUUCAUGAAUGGUCUAUAAAAUAAUGAACCUGGGGGAAACACAAGGUUCAAGCCAACACACAGGGUAGAAGAAAAAGGCUUAUCCACUGCUUCUUCUCUUAAAAAGGUUCCACCUCUGGAUAUACACAAGCCAUCAUCUAUUUGGGUGAAGAAAUCUUAAGGUGAGGCACUAUGCCAUUUACAAGCCCUCAGUGAAGAAAGAGGAAGUAAUGAACUCUGGAGUAAUGAGGCAAUUAUCAAAGGAUGAAUCUCAUUAUGGAACAAACUCAGCACCUGCAUCUAUCAAUCUACAUCCUCCAAAAGUUCUACCAACCUAUGUACUUUCAGGAACCAUAAAUUUUGCCUUAUAACUAGAGACCACAUCUAUUUUUAUACAAUGCUAUCCCCAAUGUUACUGUAUUAAAAAUAGUCCAUGGAGCUCCAUGCCCAUUGCAUUCUAUGUGAAUGACAUCCCAGAAACCAAAUAGUGCUGCAGCCUUUGUUGCCCCAGUGAAGUUGAAACCAUUAGUGGCUGACUUGAGAAACCAGAUACUCAUGAUAACUUCAGUUUUACUAAAAAUGUCUAAUUCUUGGUGUAAUAUAUAUUUCU